GGUGCGAAUUCAACCGGUUCUCUCCAAGAUUUUUCAUCCUGGGCUGUUCCAUCUCUGCAGCCGCUCAGCUACGUGUUCAGUAGCGUUUCAGCACUCUCGCCUACAGUCUUCCGACCUGACCCGGGAGCUAAACCAAUCACAGGCCAGGCCUAAGCAGAAUGGCCCCGCCCACUCUCUUUCGGAUCCCUUUUUAUGCCGCAGGAAAGACGUGGCCGUGUUGGGAAGGUUGGGGCUUCGGGACAGAGAAAUGGGGAGCGUUUGCAGACAGGAUGCCGGUUCAGCGUUGGAGAGAGUGGGGAUUAGGAGGCUAGAGCUGUAGCUGAAGGAGCAGAGGUGUUACGAGGAGAGCACUCUGGAUGUACUUCGUGACGCGAGACCGUGAGGGGGUGAGGACCGGGGCAGAUGUGUUUUAUGGAGCAGACGCUGGCAACCACAGUCCCCGCCAGGAGUAUCACUUCUGUCUCACGGUACAAGAGCUCGAGAGCCCUCGCCACUGCCGCCUGCUGGCCGGGCCCGGGCCUUGAAGCGGACGGGAACCUCUCCCCCAUCCCUGCCUCUGGGACCUAAUGGCGGCUGUGAUCUCCAUGGGUCGAAGCCCACAGGACCCUGCCCCUUGUUUGCGCUGCCAGAGGAGCCUGAAGUCUGACUGGGGCCGGGGCACCCGGCUCCCUCAGUGAUGACAGCUGGGCAGGGUCUGGAGGCCUGGCCCUGAGGGCGCCGCCAACUGAGAUCCACCUCUUCAGCCAGGCCUGGGCACUGGGGGAGCAUCUAGUCUGGGUGCUGAACCAGCGCUCCUGGGCAGGGUAAGCGGCCUGCGCAGGCACCCCCUCCUCUUAGCCCGGGCCUGGACCUCUGAAAGCUGAGCCUUGGGACCUUGCCCUUUCUUGUCAGGACAGAGAAUAACAUUUGUUUUGGUGGAGGUUUCCAGGAACGUCGUGACCUGACCUCAAGAACAAGGGAUCUGAUAGCAAGAAGUGUGCAACAGCUAACCACACCCCUCCCUCACCUUUCCUGUAAAAGGGUUUUGCUGAAAGCUUUCAGGGAGUUCAGGGUUUUUAUGGCAUGAACCAUUGGUCUCUUUGCCUGGCCCUGCAAUAAACCUUUCUCUGCUCCAAACUCCGACGUUUUGGUAUUGUUUGGCCUCACUGUGCGUCGGACACGUGGACUUCCGCUCAGUAACAAAUACAUUCAAGAAGGAUUCUGUGUAUCUUGAAUAGUCACAAGUCAUUUGUUUUUGUGAAUACUGUGAUACAGGGAUCAACUUUCUUUUUUCCUCUGUAUAGAUAAUUGUCCAGCAGCUUUAUUUAAAGUGAGUCUCUUCUACACUGUUGGGCAGUGCCAUCUCUAUCAUAAAUCAAGCGUCCAUGUCUGUAUGGCUCUGAUUUAGGAUGUCGUUCUGUUCCAUUGCUCUCUCGUUUAUUCCCGGGCCAAUACUACUCUGUUUUAGUUACGGGAUCAUUUCUAAGUCUUAGGUCUGAUAAAGCAAGGCCGCCUACUGUAUUCUUUUUCUACAAGAGUGUCUUUGUUCUUUUGGCCCUGUAUAUUUUCACAUAAAAUUUUACCUCAACUUGUCAACUUCCACACACACACACACACACACACAAAAGUCUGGGAUUUGUACUGGGGCUGCAUUGAAUCUAUAAAUCUUUUGAGUAAUGACAUUUAUAGUAUGAAGGCUUAAAAUUCAUGAACACCAUGUAUCAUUCCAUUUAUUCUUUAAUGUCUCUGAAUAAAGUUGAUGUUUCUUAUA